GCAGCCAGGAAGCAGCAUCUGCUUGGUCUGAUUGUGCAGUGCCUGAGCAAGAGUGUGACCCAAGCUGGCUGCACAGGAGUCAUCUGAAUUUCUCUGUUCCUUUACUUCAACUAACUCCACUGGGUGACACUUAAGUUGGUUUCUCAGCCUUUGGAUGUAGGAGGUGACCACUCCCUUUGCUGUGAUGGAAGCACAGCGGUGAUGCAGGCACUCGCUGAGGUCACAGUCGUUGCCGGGGUGGGAGCGUUUGUGCCCCAGGUGGUGAGCAGAGCUGGUGCUCUGGUGAGCGUGGUGCACGCAGACUGAGCUGUUGUGGAGCUUCCUUGAGAGAUCAUCUGUGAGAGCCCGGCUGGAAGCAGCGCUGCGGCGUCUGCGUGAGCUGGGCACAGCUGAGGCCGAGCAGUGACCAGGUUCUUUCCUUCGGGUUGGUUUGCAAAAGGAGAUUUUGGGAAUCGAGGCAGUUGAAGAAAGCCAGUGAAGGCAGCUCUCUCCAAGAGUGGGGGCUGUGCCUGUGGAGAGGAGGCCAGGAACCUGAGCUUCCCCUGAGACGUUCCCCAGCAUGUCUCAGCAGGGAGACAGUUCCCACUCCUGCUUUGCGCGUGGAAAGGUGUGUUGGUGUAAGCCCUGAAGUGAUGUCUGAGAGCGC